CUCAGUUCUUCUCUGCUCCUCGUGCUCUCCUGGAGUAGCGCCUCGGUCUCGGUCCUCUCUGUCUGUCCUUUGCUCUGAAAGGAAAGAUCCAUGACGGCAAGUACAAAUCACUGAAAGGGGUCAAAGUGCAAGCUUGCUCCUGUGGACUGAGGGUGUUCAGUGUAUUUGGGGAAAUAACACUGCAUCACUAAUCUGGAAGCAAGGUGAUGCUCGCUUCAGGAUGCCUUACAAUCCUGAAACAACGUCACCAGUGACCACCACC